rnacentral:rRNA from 1 species
GUUCGGAUCGCAGUCUGCAACUCGACUGCGUGAAGCUGGAAUCGCUAGUAAUCGGAUAUCAGCCAUGAUCCGGUGAAUACGUUCCCGGGCCUUGUACACACCGCCCGUCAAACCAUGGAAGCUGGGAGUGCCUGAAGUCUGUGACCGUAAGGAGCAGCCUAGGGUAAAACUAGUGACUGGGGUUAAGUCGUAACAAGGUAGCCGUACCGGAAGGUGCGGCUGGAACACCUCCUUUCUAGAG